UACAGAGGGUGCGAGCGUUGUCCGGAAUCACUGGGCGUAAAGGGCGCGUAGGUGGUGGCUUAAGCGUGCGGUGAAAGCUCGGGGCUCAACUCCGAGUCGGCCGUGCGAACUGGGCUCACUGGAGCAUAGUAGAGGCAGGUGGAAUUCCGGGUGUAGCGGUGGAAUGCGUAGAGAUCCGGAAGAACACCAGUGGCGAAGGCGACUUACUGGACACAUAUUGACGCUGAGGUGCGAAAGCGUGGGGAGCAAACAGG
rnacentral:rRNA from 1 species